GGAGUUUGGACCGUGUCUCAGUUCCAAUGUGGGGGACCUUCCUCUCAGAACCCCUACUGAUCGCAGGCUUGGUGGGCCGUUACCCCGCCAACAACCUAAUCAGACGCAUCCCCAUCCUAUAGCGGUAAACCUUUGGUAUUCGUCAGAUGUCAUCAAAAUACAACAUAGGGUAUUAAUCCGCAUUUCUACGGGCUAUCCCCUACUAUAGGGAAGGUUGGAUACGCGUUACUCACCAGUGCGCCGGUCGCCGGCGGCGUGUUGCCACGCCCCGAUGCCCCUCGACUUGCAUGUGUUAAGCCUGUCGCUAGCGUUCAUC
rnacentral:rRNA from 1 species